GGGACAGGAGAGACGAGGACGCACAAGUUGGCACCGAGACCUGAACCUACAGGAAGGACAGCUGUAAGGAUUGCAAGGGAGACAAGCCUGUGUAAACCUGUUUGUGCCUAGCUGUGGCGUCUGUGCCAGUACCCACCUGCGUGCAGCCUGUCGGCCUGAAUGUCUGCCAGAACGUCUGCCUACCUAGUGGCCUAUGUACGGGUUUAUUUUUAUGUGCACUGGUGCUUUGCCUGCGUGUAUGCCUGUGUG